AAUAGAUACCCUGUAGUCCACGCCGUAAACGAUGAGUGCUAAGUGUUAGGGGGUUUCCGCCCCUUAGUGCUGCAGCUAACGCAUUAAGCACUCCGCCUGGGGAGUACGGUCGCAAGACUGAAACUCAAAGGAAUUGACGGGGGCCCGCACAAGCGGUGGAGCAUGUGGUUUAAUUCGAAGCAACGCGAAGAACCUUACCAGGUCUUGACAUCCCAUUGACCGCUAUGGAGACAUAGCUUUCCCUUCGGGGACAGUGGUGACAGGUGGUGCAUGGUUGUCGUCAGCUCGUGUCGUGAGAUGUUGGGUUAAGUCCCGCAACGAGCGCAACCCUUGUUCUUAGUUGCCAUCAUUUAGUUGGGCACUCUAAGGAGACUGCCGGUGACAAACCGGAGGAAGGUGGGGAUGACGUCAAAUCAUCAUGCCCCUUAUGACCUGGGCUACACACGUGCUACAAUGGACGGUACAAACGGUUGCCAACCCGCGAGGGGGAGCUAAUCCGAUAAACCGUCUCAGUUACGGUAGUUGUAGGUCGUGUCGAACUCGUCCUAC
rnacentral:rRNA from 1 species